UACGGAGGGGGCUAGCGUUGUUCGGAAUUACUGGGCGUAAAGCGCACGUAGGCGGCCUGUUACGUCUGCUGUGAAAUCCCGGGGCUUAACCCCGGGCGUGCAGUGGAUACGGGCAGGCUGGAGGCAGGCAGGGGAGAACGGAAUUCCCGGUGUAGCGGUGAAAUGCGCAGAUAUCGGGAGGAACACCGGUGGCGAAGGCGGUUCUCUGGGCCUGUACUGACGCUGAGGAGCGAAAGCGUGGGGAGCGAACAGG
rnacentral:rRNA from 1 species